rnacentral:tRNA from 1 species
GGUCGGCUGGAGCGGGCCAGCGUGACCACUCCUGCCACGAGCAGGACCGCGGCUCCGGCCGCGAUCGACCC